rnacentral:pre_miRNA from 1 species
AGAAACUUGAAAACUACCGUUGGAUCGAGAAAUGGACGUCCGAAGAUUCGUCCAUGUUAUCAUGAGUUAAAAUUUUACUCUUAACUCAUGAGUAAAUCUGCGAGUUAAAUUUUAACUCAUGGUGACGUGGACGAAUCUCGGACGUCCAUUUCUCGAUUCAACGGUAGUUUUCAAGUUUCU